UACGAAGGGGGCUAGCGUUGUUCGGAAUCACUGGGCGUAAAGCGUACGUAGGCGGACCAUUAAGUCGGGGGUGAAAUCCCAGGGCUCAACCCUGGAACUGCCUUCGAUACUGGUGGUCUGGAGUCCGGGAGAGGUGAGUGGAACUCCUAGUGUAGAGGUGAAAUUCGUAGAUAUUGGGAAGAACACCGGUGGCGAAGGCGGCGACCUGGUCCGAUACUGACGCUGAGGCGCGAAAGCGUGGGGAGCAAACAGG
rnacentral:rRNA from 1 species